rnacentral:tRNA from 1 species
GGGCCUGUAGCUCAGAGGUAGAGCGUCCACCCCGUGGAGGUGGCAGGCCGCGGGUUCGAGCCCCGCCAGGCCCUCCG